rnacentral:rRNA from 1 species
UCAAGUUAUUAAGGGUGCAGGGCGAAUGCCUUGGCACUAGGAGCCGAUGAAGGACGUGAUAAGCUGCGAUAAGCUUCGGGGAGUUGCACGUAAACUUUGAUCCGAAGAUUUCCGAAUGAGGAAACUCACUUAGAGUAAUGUCUAAGUAUCGUAUGAUGAAUACAUAGUCAUGCGAGGGGAACCCGGAGAACUGAAACAUCUAAGUACCCGGAGGAAGAGAAAGAAAUUCGAUUCCGUAAGUAGCGGCGAGCGAACGCGGAACAGGCCAAACCAGUGAAGUUUUCUUCGCUGGGGUUGCGGACAUAUCAUAACGAAGAGGUAUCGUAGAGGAAGAGAGUUGGAAAGCUCCGCCAUAGAUGGUAACAGCCCAGUAUUUUAAACGAGAAGACUUUAGAUAUGAUCCAGAGUACCACGGGACACGUGAAACCCUGUGGGAAGCAGGAGGGACCAUCCUCCAAGCCUAAAUACUACCUAGUGACCGAUAGCGUAUAGUACCGUGAGGGAAAGGUGAAAAGAACCCCGGGAGGGGAGUGAAAGAGAACCUGAAACCCUGCACUUACAAGCUGUAGGAGCACAUUAUUUGUGUGACUGCGUACUUUUUGUAGAACGGGCCAACGAGUUACGUUGUGUAGCAAGGUUAAGCACUUAAGGUGUGGAGCCGUAGCGAAAGCGAGUCUUAAAUGGGCGUCCAGUUACCCGACGUAGACCCGAAACCAGGCGACCUAUCCAUGAGCAGGUUGAAGCGAAAGUAAAAUUUCGUGGAGGACCGAACCCACGUACGUUGAAAAGUGCGGGGAUGACUUGUGGAUAGCGGUGAAAUUCCAAUCGAGCCUGGAGAUAGCUGGUUCUCCCCGAAAUAGCUUUAGGGCUAGCCUCAAGAUUAGAGAAGCGGAGGUAGAGCACUGAAUGUCCUAGGGGGUAUUGCACUUACCGAAGACUAUCAAACUCCGAAUGCCGUAUUCUUUUGCUUGGGAGUCAGACUAUGGGUGAUAAGAUUCAUAGUCAAGAGGGCAACAGCCCAGAUCGUCAGCUAAGGUCCCUAAAUGUAAGUUAAGUGGUAAAGGAUGUGGAAUUGCACAGACAACCAGGAUGUUGGCUUAGAAGCAGCCACUCAUUUAAAGAGUGCGUAAUAGCUCACUGGUCGAGUGAUUCUGCGCCGAAAAUUUCCGGGGCUAAAACUUACUACCGAAGCUACGGCAUCAUUAUGAUGGGUAGGGGAGCUUUCUAUACGGGUUGAAGCAUGACCGUAAGGACAUGUGGACUGUAUAGAAGUGAGAAUGUUGGCAUGAGUAGCGAGAUGUGGGUGAGAAUCCCACAGGCCGUAAACCCAAGGUUUCCAGGGGAAGGUUCGUCCGCCCUGGGUUAGUCAGGACCUAAGCCGAGGCCGAAAGGCGUAGGUGAUGGACAACAGGUUGAUAUUCCUGUACCACCAAUAACCGUUUGAGAAAUGGGAUGACACAGUAGGAUAAGCUAACCGCACUGUUGGUUAUGUGCGGGCAAGUAUUGAGGCAGUUCCGAUAGGCAAAUCCGUCGGAAUAAUGCUGGGGUACGAUGCGGAGCGAAAUUAAGUAGCGAAGUAGCUGAUUUCACACUGUCGAGAAAAGUCUCUAUCGAGGUUAAAGGUGCCUGUACCGCAAACCGACACAGGUGGGUGAGGAGAGUAUCCUAAGGCCAGCGAGAGAACUGUUGUUAAGGAACUCGGCAAAAUGACCCCGUAACUUAGGGAGAAGGGGUGCCUUCGAAAGAAGGCCGCAGAGAAUAGGCCCAAGCGACUGUUUACCAAAAACAUAGGUUUCUGCUAAGUCGCAAGACGAUGUAUAGGAGCUGACGCCUGCCCGGUGCUGGAAGGUUAAGGGGAUCUGUUAGAGCAAUCGAAGCAGUGAACUUAAGCCCCAGUAAACGGCGGCCGUAACUAUAACGGUCCUAAGGUAGCGAAAUUCCUUGUCGGGUAAGUUCC